rnacentral:pre_miRNA from 2 species
UAUUAGGUUGGUGCAAAAGUAAUUGUGGUUUUUGCCAUUAAAAGUAAUGACAAACCCACAAUUACUUUUGCACCAACCUAAUA